AAAUCUUCUGAAAUUUCUUUAUGUUUUAGAUAGUCUUAAUAUUUUUAGGUAUGUAAGACAUCUAAAAUAUAACCAGAUAUUUAACAGUUUCACCAUAGUUUCUCCCUAUUGUGUUAACAGCCCUCGGUUGGAGUUCAGAAACAGUAGCUUGCUUUUAUCCAAGACGGUAAAUUACAGUAAGUUCUUUCAAGCACAGCGUGUUCCUAACAGAAAUGCUGACACUGGUAACGGGGACAGGCCGGAACAGCCUUAGCCUACGCAUGUGUCAGCAAAAUUUGUCUAUUGUUCUUUUCUUCUCUCCUAAUUGAGCAAAUUUUGAUGCCUCCAUUUUUUUCCAGGGGAGAGUGGUUGUUUUAAUGACAUUUAUUUAAAUAUGAAGACUUAAACACAAAAUUUUAUCUCAAAUACUAUUUGACAAGGUCAAAUUACCCAAAAUUAAACUCUGGCUUAAAAGACUAAUUUUUUUUUCAUUUAAAUUCCCUCUUUAUUUUAUUACAUUUCCUGUUUGAAUUAUAACUAUUUUAAAUCAGUAAAAUCCUGACCAAAGAGACAAAACAAACUCUCCAUACCAAUGCUAAUAAUUUUAUUGUUUAGACCUUAACUUAUAGAAAAGGCCAAUACAUUACAUAUGCUGCAUUUUAAUACUUUUUAAUGUCAAAUUUGUUGUUUUAUUAAAAUUUCAUGACUCUCUAUGUGCCCUUUCUUGAUAAUCUGACUCUGUGUGUGUGUGUCUGUCUGUCUGUCUAUCUGUCUGUGUCUGUGUUUGUGAGUGUGUGUGUCUGUGUGUCUGUGUCUGUGCCUCUGUGUGUAGCACGUAUUACAGCUCCUGCUGGGAAUCCUCCUGUCUCAGUCUCUAGAACACAGGAUUACAGGGGAGCACCUGCAGGUGGCUUUAACUACUUCUCAUUAAAUGAACAAGGCCACGGAGUCAUGAUUGAAAUUAUACCUCAAAUGGCCACUUGGGCAUCUUACUCUAGCUCAAAGUUUAGAGCUGACAUAUGGAAGACUUUCAGAAUUAAUUUGUUAGAAGAAUUAACAGUGAGUUCACUAACGGAUACAGGGUCUCACUGUGCAGCCCUGGCUGGCCCGGGAGUUGCUACAUAGAGCAGGGUCGCCUUGAACUAACAGAGUACCUGGCUCUGCCUCCCAAGUUCUGAGAUAUAGGCUAUUCUUGGUCUAAUUUAUCAUUUUUUCCUUAAAAAUUGUGGGAAUAAAAAGUAUAUAAAACGUCAUCUGAUUUUUAUUGAUUUUUAAAUAUUUUUUCUAUUAUGCUCAAAAUGCAUUUAAGGGAACUUAGCUUCACACAGACCUACAGUUUAGACCAGACAGGGAGCGUCUGUUGACAGAAGAACUAAUUCCAGAACAGGUCCUGAAAAGGCCACCUGAGAAGGCUCUCUCCUGAGAAGUUUUUAUCCAAGACACAGCCGGAUCUCUAGAACCUCUAGAGCUGAGUAGAAGGAAGACUGCUGGAGAUGACGAAAGUACUAACAGACUCGGAACACCUAGAGCCGACAGUAUUGCUUGUAAUCAAGUAACGCCACCCAAUGGGAGGAGUAACAUACUGAGUAUGGAUGGCAGGCAGGAUCCAGGGCGCUCCCAAACAGACAGCAAAGUACCAAAGUCUCGUCCUUGUUCGCCCAUUCAUCCACUUUUAUUUCUCUGUUGUCAUAUGAGCCCAGUCUCCAGAGGGACCCAGGACAUCCUAGUACAGAGACAACCAGGCCAGGUCCCAUACUCCAGAGACCACACCCUCUGAGGAUUCAACAAGUCUAUGUGCUAAUCCAUGAUUAAUUAAUAUUUAAUAAUGCCAAAAGAUUAUCUCCCAAAGGUAAGAUUUGCAUGUAAAAGAGGACCUCGCAAUUUAUAGAAAACGAUCAAGUUUCACAAACCUAAACUUGGUGAUGGUGAACCACGUCAAUGGGACUAGGUUGAGAAUCGCUUAGGAGACUGGGAACUGUACACCUCUCAGUAAGCCUGUGAGGGCAUCCUGGAAUAUUGGCCAAGGAGAAGACACGCCUGGAGUAUGGUUGGCACCGUCUGAUAGGCUAGAAGGCCAAGUGCAGUCAAAGGGCAAAGAUGAGGAUGUUUCUUUCUGCAGGCAUCCUUUGUGUCCUGUCUGUCAUGGUGGGCUCCCCACUCCCCUACUCUCACCCUAUAGUGAGGGGCCAAGAUUGCUAAAGCGAUGUCAAAAUGACGCCUCCUUUUAAACAGUGUUUCUUGAUCACUUUAUCAUAGUAAUAAUAACUGAUUUUAAAAAACCAAAUAAUGCCCGACUAUACUUAUCUCCUUAAAGAGAAACUGAACGAUUGCUGAAAGAACCAGCCUUACGGAAAGCAUUGCCAUUAACAGUAUAGGUAGAAAGGCUCUUCCUAAUAAACCACUGCCACAGGAGGACAGAGGUGUCAUACCCUGGCUUGAAAAGUUCAUAUCCGUCCUUGAAUCCACACCACUGCGGAACAUAUAACCCCUCACUUAAAUAAGUAUAUCUUAGACACGGUGCUCUUUAUGAUGGACUAGUGAAAGACUGGAAAUACAGCGGAAACAGCUCAUGCCUCUCUGUUUGGAUUAGUCUAAUCACAGAAUCCAUCGCCGUACACAGGGCUACACACAUUACACGUCCCCGCCCCACCCCCCUCAAUGAGAUACUCAUAGGUUCCAGCCAAACAGGGUGUGAGGGAAAGUGAUAAACGUCCUUCAAAGGUCAGAUGCUCUCCCUUUCCUGCUGGCACUGCUUCAAAAGUUGUAACCCAAAGGUUCUAAACUGUGUGUGAGAAAUAUCAGGAGAAGCAAAGAUGAUGCAGAAGUCACAAAGAGUUCUAGGGACUAGCGAGGGCAGUGGACACCAUUAAGAGUGCUUCCCAAACCAGGUAUGGUGGUGCCAUGUGCCUUGAUUCCCAGGUCUUAGGAGAGAGCAAGCCAGGGAUCUCUGUGGGUUUGAAGCCAGCCUGGUCUAAAUAGUGAAUUUUAGGCCAGCCAGAGCUACGUAGUGUAUAUGUAUGUAUGUAUGUAUGUAUGUAUGUAUGUGUACGUAUAAUAUAUAUGUAUGUAUAUGUAUAAUAUAUGUGUAUGUAUAAUAUAUGUGUAUGUAUAUGUAUAAUAUAUGUGUAUGUAUGUGUAUGUAUAAUAUAUGUGUAUGUAUAUGUAUAAUAUAUGUGUAUGUAUGUGUAUGUAUAAUAUAUAUAUGUUUGUAUGUAUGUGUUGUAUAAUAUAUAUGUGUAUGUAUGUAUAUGUACCUUGUCUUAGAUAGAUGAUAGAUAGAUAGAUGACAGGUAAUCAAAUAGAUAAUUGAUCGAUUGAUAGUCAGAUAUAUGAUGAUGGAUAAUAGAAAGAAAGAGAGAGAGAAAGGAAGGAAGGAAGGAAGGAAGGAAGGAAGGAAGGAAGGAAGGAAGGAGGAAGGCAGGUAGGUAGGUUUCCUCAAGGCAAAGCAGCCAUUUUGACUUGUUUGCAGGAAGGGAAGCAGGCAGUGGAGAGACACUGUCGGCACAGAUGUCCAAGUGACUACAGGACGCAAAGGAUGUUGCUUCCUCCACUCACAGACAGCAGUGGUGUGGUCACUGGGACGUCGCUUUUGCUCCUGUACCUGCCACCCACACUCAGGCAAGAAGCUAUGUAAACUCAACGGGCCACGCGCAAGAAGAAGCCGCAGAAGCAGGAGGGGGGCCUGAUUGAGAGGAAAGGCUCCAGGGGUUGAAGUGGGGAGGAUGAGAGAGGAGAGUUGGGAAUGAAAAACUAGUAAAACCCAACUGUCAAACAAGAAUUUCAAAGAAAACUACUGACGUGGAAAAAUAUUGCUAUUCUGACCCAAGGCCGUGGGAAGAAACAGUGACCCUGUAUCAGGCAGAGAGCGAGCCGGAAGCCUCUGCCCCUGCUGUGAGCAUAAAACUACCCUGCAAAAAAGCCUUUUAAAAAUAUAAAUAAAGCCUUCAAUAAAAGGGAAAGAAAGCAGAGGUAAAUUCUACUGUAACCCCAGGACCGAUGGCUUGUUAAGAGUGGAGUAUACAGAGUCACCCCCAAGGCAGCUGUUCAUUAUAGCAGAGACAUAAAGGGAGCUGCCAAGGGACUGCUCCAGAAGAGACCAGACACGUGCUCCUAGUCCUCCCCUGGUGCCGGCAGGCAUGAGAGAGAUGCCCAAUCCUCCAGUAAUGCCGUGACAACAUUUGUGAAGUGCUGUCUACCAUAGAGACUUGGCACUCAAAGUUUUUCCUGGGAGCAGGUCAUGACCUCAUCACUGUCUAGUACACACCAUCAUCACCCCAGACUGUCAAAAGCAGGUAUUCAGUACAAACUGCAUUGCAUACACGGUGAGACACAUACCCCCAUUUAGAGGAAGUUUUACAGAAGUAAAACUCUAUGCCAGACAAGUACCGUACACGCAGGCUUUUCUAAGACAACUGCCUCAAGUCUGUUGCAUUUGCUCUAUGCUAUACACCUUGACUAAUACAAACAGGGCAGCCUCAUCCGUCACAAGGCAAACGUGAAUUACAGUAACACCAAGUUACCGUUGUCCUUUGUUGGGCUGGUAAAGUCCAAACUAAGGAAGAUGUCUGCUUGGUAAUGAGGCCGUUCCAUAUGUAGUCGGUAGGGACCGAGAUGCCUUGUUAAACAAUCGGACAACGUCUACCAGAAUUACAAACACAUAUAUCCCCCUUCUACCAGGCCGGCUUCUUGAAAGGUGCUUGCAUUUGCAAAGUGGAAAGGUUAUCUGUUGUGGCACUGUCUGCAUAGAACAACCUGAAUCAAUGCUAUUCGUGUCUAUGGGGAUGCUCAUUUAAAGAAACCGACUGCAUGCCCCUCCUUCAAGAUGACUGCCUACACAGGGCCUGGUGGAUGGGUUCAUGGGUCAAAGAGCUUGCCACCAAGCCUGACAACCUGAGUUUGAUCCCCAGAACCUACAUGGUGGGAAGAAGAGAACUGACUCUCAUAAUCUGUCCUCACUGGUGCAUUGUGAGAUAUGUGUGCUCAACUUCCAUGCACAUACAAAAUAAAUGUCUUAAAAAUUAUAUGUAUAUAUGUAUAUAUAUCUCCAAAUAUAGUAUUUAAUACUUGAUGUCACUGGGUUUGGUAUUAAUGAUACUGUUACUAAUAAUUACUAUUAGCGUAGUGCGUCACUGAAGAGACUGCUGUCUACCCGUGACGUUUCCUAUAAGGAAGUGAACUCUGCCACACAAGCACUGGCAUUUCAGACCCGUGUUCUGCAGGCCACUUGGGCAUAAAGAAGCUGUGCUGAGCAGCCUGUCUUGCACCAUCCAUGUUGCAUACUGGCAGAACUCUGGACAAACACACCCCUUAGCUAUCUGUGUUCUGUAUGUUACAGUGGACAUUGACUCCAAGUAAGGGUCACGCCAUACUGCAAGAUCAAGGGACCAACCAGUGAUGUCACUGAAUAAACAAAUCUGUAGGCAUCUGUGUUAGCUUCUGGGAAACAUUAUUGGUCAGAGACAAUGGAGAGACUACCUACAUAUGGGAACACACGGAGCUUGCGGAAGAGACUAGAGAUCUGACUUUAUCCCAAACAGUAUGUAUGAUGUAACAAUUUCUAAUAGUAUAAGAACACUGUGUCUGUUUUGGUUUGGAUCAACACUGGGACGCUUGCUCCUUCAUAGAGACAUGGGUCUUCCUCUGAGCUCAGUUUACUGUUGCCAGUGAGCUGCUUUUAACAGUCUGGGAGCAAGAUGGUGACUGCUCAUUCUUUUGGGGGAGAGGGGGAGGGGUUGAGACAGUUUCUCUGUAUAGGUUUGGCUGUCCUGAAACUCUCUUUGUAGAUCAGGCUGGCCUUGAACUUAUAGAUCCACCCACCUCUGCCUCCCAGAGUGCUAGGAUCGAAGUUGUUUCCUUGGAGAUACUGAUUAUCUGUGAAAUCCAGGGUGCCAACUGUCAAGAUGGCUCAGUGGUGAAAGGUGCUUGUCACCAAGUCUGAUGACCUACUUGAUCCCAGGAACCUACUAACUUCCACAAAUUAGCCUAUGUUCUCCACCUGUGCUAUGUCUUAUGCUCACACACACACACACACACACACACACACACCUGCACACAUGUGCACACACACAAAUGUAAGUGUAAGAAAAGUCUUAGCAUAUAAAAUAUUUUAAUUCUGCUGACUGUUGGGCCAUUGAUUAUAUAUAUUCAAAUAUAUUUAUAAAUUAUAUAUUUAUGAAUGUGGGUGUAGUCUUGGGUUGUACAGGAAUACCAACUGAAUAAGCCAUGUUGGUAAGCAG